rnacentral:rRNA from 1 species
AAUAGAUACCCUGGUAGUCCACGCCGUAAACGAUGAGUGCUAAGUGUUAGAGGGUUUCCGCCCUUUAGUGCUGAAGUUAACGCAUUAAGCACUCCGCCUGGGGAGUACGGCCGCAAGGCUGAAACUCAAAGGAAUUGACGGGGGCCCGCACAAGCGGUGGAGCAUGUGGUUUAAUUCGAAGCAACGCGAAGAACCUUACCAGGUCUUGACAUCCUCUGACAACCCUAGAGAUAGGGCUUCUCCUUCGGGAGCAGAGUGACAGGUGGUGCAUGGUUGUCGUCAGCUCGUGUCGUGAGAUGUUGGGUUAAGUCCCGCAACGAGCGCAACCCUUGAUCUUAGUUGCCAUCAUUAAGUUGGGCACUCUAAGGUGACUGCCGGUGACAAACCGGAGGAAGUGGGGAUGACGUCAAAUCAUCAUGCCCCUUAUGACCUGGGCUACACACGUGCUACAAUGGACGGUACAAAGAGCUGCAAGACCGCGAGGUGGAGCUAAUCUCAUAAAACCCGUUCUCAGUUCGGA